UGGAGGCAGCAGUGAGGAAUAUUGCACAAUGGGCGAAAGCCUGAUGCAGCAACGCCGCGUGAGUGAUGAAGGCCUUCGGGUUGUAAAGCUCUGUCUUUGGGGACGAUAAUGACGGUACCCAAGGAGGAAGCCACGGCUAACUACGUGCCAGCAGCCGCGGUAAUACGUAGGUGGCAAGCGUUGUCCGGAUUUACUGGGCGUAAAGGAUGCGUAGGUGGAUAUGCAAGUCAGAUGUGAAAUACCCGGGCUUAACUCGGGUGCUGCAUUUGAAACUAUAUAUCUAGAGUGCAGGAGAGGUAAGUGGAAUUCCUAGUGUAGCGGUGAAAUGCGUAGAGAUUAGGAAGAACACCAGUGGCGAAGGCGACUUACUGGACUGUAACUGACACUGAGGCAUGAAAGCGUGGGGAGCAAACAGGAUUAGAUACCCCGGU
rnacentral:rRNA from 1 species